UGGAGGUGUAAGAGACCCCCAAGGCGACGAUGGGUAGCCGGCCUGAGAGGGUGACCGGCCACACUGGAACUGAGACACGGUCCAGACUCCUACGAGAGGCAGCAGUGGGGAAUCUUCCGCAAUGGGCGCAAGCCUGACGGAGCAACGCCGCGUGAGUGAAGAAGGCCUUCGGGUUGUAAAACUCUGUCAUCAGGGAAGAAGGAAGUGACGGUACCUGAGGAGGAAGCCCCGGCUAACUACGUGCCAGCAGCCGCGGUAAAACGUAGGGGGCGAGCGUUGUCCGGAAUUACUGGGCGUAAAGGGCGCGUAGGCGGUUAUCCAAGUCAGGGGUGAAAACCUUGGGCUCAACUCAGGGCCUGCCUCUGAAACUGGGUAACUUGAGGGCAGGAGAGGGGAGUGGAAUUCCCAGUGUAGCGGUGAAAUGCGUAGAUAUUGGGAGGAACACCAGUGGCGAAGGCGGCUCUCUGGCCUAACCCUGACGCUGAGGCGCGAAAGCGUGGGGAUCAAACAGGAUUAGAUACCCUGGUAGUCCACGCCGUAAACGAUGGGUGCUAGGUGUAGGAGGUAUCGACCCCUUCUGUGCCGUAGUUAACAC
rnacentral:rRNA from 1 species